CCCCUUUCAACUACCGUCACUGCUGUCCUCCCUUGCUCUGCAUUUUUUUACUUUUCUGCUGCUUGCAAUGUGCAAAAAGUAAUCUUGAUUAUUCUUUUUUUUUUCUUUCGUUCUUCGAAGAACUGUCAUAUUAAAAUAUAUGAUUGAUGGUAUUAAAGCUAACACAAAAUGUAUUAAAUUACUCUGAAAUUUUAGUCUUAUUUUGUACAGUCUACUAAGUUAACUUAUGCAAAUAUUGAAGUCUUAGAGUACCUCAGCUUGCUCGUAUUUAAUGAAGGAAGAUUGUUACUGGUGUAUCAGGCAACUUCAGCUGGGUCCUUGGGUGGCCUAUGCUGCUUCAGAGCAUGGGUUGGAUUCACAAUUCCUACAUCAAGACUUGCUAAAUCCUCGAUCUUCCGUGACAAGAAAGGCAAAGUUGGAUAUGUAAUCUGCCUUCAGAAGCAAACCAUAUCAUUUUUCUUCUAAAAAGAAAAGGUGGGCUGAAACAUCUCUUUGGUCAUCCGUCAUAAUUUAGUAGCUAAGACAUGGAACUUCAAUUUAUGCCUUGGUGAUGAAGGAAAGGCAACCACCAAUCAAGUUAUAAUGGGA
rnacentral:lncRNA from 1 species